CCUACGGGAGGCAGCAGUGGGGAAUAUUGGGCAAUGGGCGCAAGCCUGACCCAGCAACGCCGCGUGAAGGAAGAAGGCUUUCGGGUUGUAAACUUGUUUUCUCAGGGACGAAGCAAGUGACGGUACCUGAGGAAUGAGCCACUGCUAACUACGUGCCAGCAGCCGCUGUAAUACGUAGGAUGCGAGCUUUAUCAGGAUUUAUGGGGUUUAAAGGGUGCGUAGGUGUAUUUUGUAGUUGGCGGUAAAAUGUCCGGGCUAAACCCGGGCCGGCCGUUGAAACUGGGCAUCUUGAGUGGGCGAGAAGUAUGCGGAAUGCGUGGUGUAGCGAUGAAAUGCAUAGAUAUCACGAAGAACUCCGAUUGCGAAGGCAGCAUACCGGCGCCCGACUGACGCUGAGGCACGAAAGCGUGGGGAUCGAACAGGAUUAGAUACCCGAGUAGUC
rnacentral:rRNA from 1 species